rnacentral:tRNA from 1 species
GCCGGGGUACCCGAGUGGUCAAAGGGGGUGGAUUCAAGCUCCUCUGCAUAAUGCUUCGCAGGUUCAAAUCCUGUCCCCGGCACCA